GUGAUCAGCUGUUACUCUACCCCAAUCUCAUUGGAGAAUAAGAUUCUACUGCGGUUCUAAGUCAUUGUGUGCUGAGUAAAGUGGUUAACUAGUGAUUUGAAAGAAUACAGGAGAGAGGGUAGGAGAGUGAGUAACAGGUGGAGCCUCUGUUUUCUUUAUAGAAAAAAGUAAACAACUCUUUGUUUAGUUAGAGAGCACUUAAUUUUAGGAUGGGCUUCACUGGAGGGUAAAUGGCUCAUUACCCACCUCCAUGAUUCUGGAGGCGAAGGCACUUGUAGCUCCACCGUUAGCCAGCUGGAUAACAGGCCCAUGUCUGUCCUGGCCAAGCCUGUUUUGCUGUCUGGUUGCUUCGGCCAAGAAGCCUUCCCAGAACCGUGCCCUCCUUCCUCAUGCCUGUGCUUUCUGUGUUGUAUUUCUUUGUAUUUUCUUUUUGCUUAUAAUUUUCUCCCCCCACUGUAAGCCCCAUGAGGACAAGGAACAUGAUUGGUUUUGCUCACUGCCGUAUCUUCCGUACCUAGUACGUAACAGGACAUCAAUAAAUAUUAGUUGAAUGGAAGAUUAAAUCAACAAAAUGGGUGAUGGAUCUCUGCAGUAAGUGGAAGAGUUCUUCAUGGCCCCCAAGGUUAUAUCCAUCUAGAACUUCAGCACGUAAUUUCAUCUGGAAAUAGUGCCUUUGCGGAUAUAAGUUAGGUAAAACUGAAGAUGAGAUCAUACUGGAUUAGGAUGGGAUCUAAAUCCAAUGAAAAUGUCUUCAUAAAAAACAGGAAAGAACCCAUAGAAACACAAGGAAGAAGGUCAUGUGAAGAUGGAGGCAGAGAUUGGAGGGAUGCAGCCACCGGCCCAGGAAUGCCAGCAGCCACCCAGAAGCUGGAAGGAAAUGAGGGAUUCUCUCCUAGAACCUUUAGAGAGAACAUGGUCCUGUGAACAGCUUGAUUUUGGACUUGCCCAUAGCUUGUAUACUCUUACUUUGGAUACAAUUUUAUCCAAACUUGGCUAAACAGUUUCUCAGCCUAUGGAAAAUUUAAAAUGGAGAAGAUUCAACUCGAUUCUUACAGAUUCAAAGCAAGAAAAUGAUGGGAACAUAGGAGGAGACCAAGAAAGCCUAUAAAAAGCAAAAAUAUGAAGUGAACAUUGUGGUAGCUUUAAGAUGUUUAGUGUAGCUGCAGGCACCCUAUACACAUGAAAACCCCCAAGGGGAAUCCCCAUAUCACAGUGUAGUGUGAUAUUUGACAUUCGUGAUCAUCUAGAGAUGUACAGAAAAGGUGAAUCUGUGUUCUGUAUAUUCUGCCUAAGGCAAAGAAAUGUUUAGCUCUCUUUAAAAUAGUUCCAUAAUUUUUUCUAAAAAGCUUUGCUUGAAAACUGUAAGCUUCCCAUAUCUGGAGCAUUUCACUUUAAAUAUUUGGAUAAAUAUGUUAUCUUCUUACUUGGACAUUUCAUGUGUUUAGGGAUUGUCUUCUAAAUUCUUCCUAAUUCAUAUAGCUGCUAACACUUCCCGCAGAGCUAAACCAUUACAGAUAUGAAAUAAAGACCUAUUGAUUUGACUUACUUUUACUUGUAAAACCUUCUGAGUGUUAUAACCUCAUUUAAUCUUUCAGCAUUUACAGUUUCAAGAGUUUGUGUCACAAUUAGAAGAAUUCAGCUGCACCUCCAAGUGACAGCAGUUGCUCUGGUUGGUGGGUGAUCUCAGGAGGCUUGAGAAUUGCUUUGUCUGUGAGGGAAGUAAGACAUUUUCAGAGCCCCACUUUAGAAGGUGUGAACUGGCUAGAUAAUGAACCCCAGGGCUAACGCUGCUAUAGCAGUGGGAAGGAGGUGAUGGGUUUUCAGUUUGGACCUCAAACAUCAAUACCCUCCUGGUACGGGGAGGAACAGAGUCCCUCCUUUACUUCUCCAUUAGAAAGAAUGAGAUGGCAAGACAAUGAAACAGGCAAAGUGAACAGAGAUGCAAGACAAAAUUCAGGUGAGAGAGCCAGAGCAUCACUCAGCCAUUCCUGACAUGUAAAACAGGCAACUAGAAAUUUGCAGAAAGGAAGCGAAGUCUCCAUAAAGAUGUUUUUAAAGUGAGCUUGAAGUAUUUGGAGACAAUUCAGUGUUACAUAAAAUCUGCAAAUCUCUGGAUAAAGAAGCAGAGAUCCCAGCAUGGGACAAAUGGAGCCUCAAAAGUGGGAAGAAGACAGAGAAGACCAGGGCAGAAUGCAUCUCUUCCUUUCUCUUGGCUUUCCUGGAUAAGGACUGCAUCAUUCCUGUGGAAGGACAGGCCAUCAGCUCCGAAACACUGUAUGUAUUUUCCAGUAUAUACUGCUAGCUGUGUGAUGUUGGGAAAAUUUGUUACCCUGUCUAACCCCCACUUCCCUCAUCUGUAAAAUGGAAAUAAUGAUAGUACCUACCUAUCUCAUAGGUGGCAACUACAAGGGGCAGCACACUCAGGGAAUUAAGGAAGUUUCAGUGAACAUCAACUUUAUGAACACAGUGUUCAUAAAGGCAGGUCAGUGCAGUGGUUUGGGAGCCAGGAGAAGCACGUGGGCCGGAGUGUGCCUGCAGGAGACAAGGUCAGAGAUGUUGCUAAUAAUGGAGAAUAAAGGAUGCAUUCUCAUUACUGACCUUGGAGUCGUUCAUUCAUUCCCAGAAUGUGUUUUGUCAGCUUACUAAAACACUAAGUUAAAUAAUCCCAGGUUUUGUUUAUUAUAGAUACUAGGACUUAGUGGACCCAAGGUUAAUGACAUCCAGAGUAGACAAACAUCAAGUGUGUACUGCUUCUGUGCCAAGCGUCCUUCAUCUAGAUGUCCAUGGAUCAUAU
rnacentral:lncRNA from 10 species